rnacentral:tRNA from 1 species
GGGCCUGAACCUCAAUGGGUAGCGCCGAUUGCUCAUUACGGUCUGGAUGCAGGUUCGAGUCCUGCCGGGUCCACCA